GGGGACGUAGCUCGGCUGGCUAGAGCACCUGCUUUGCAAGAAGGUGUUCUACUCACAGGGCGAACGUCCUCACCA
rnacentral:tRNA from 1 species